CUUUAUUGCUGUAAAUCUGCUGCUAAAUCCCUUGUUUCCCUUUGAGUUAGAAGCCCAAUAAACAACUUCUGCAAUGUUCCAAUAAUUUACUUUGUCAUUUCAGAUACUCUGAAUGAUUCAUAGAGUCUUCCUGCCGAUUCCAACCACAGAAGUACUUUCUGUCUAAAGCAUUAAGCCUGAAAAUCCAUAACUCACAGGGUCCUCAGAACAAUUGGGAAAAUAAGAGGCACUGAAAGUGAUACCUGGAGCUGGAAGUGGCCACAACAAGACUUGGAGAGCAGCAUCUUUCUCCUUGAUGAGCAGAAACACAGUGCUUACUGUGGGUCUCCUUUCUGCCUCAGAUUAUUGCAACAUCUAUUUUGUGGCUGUGGACUUAUCUCUUCUUGGAACUCCUCCUGGACUGUGAGACUUCAGAUUCAGGCCUGGGCACCAGAAGACUUUGCCGGUGGCCCAUGACUAAGACUCUGUGCUUCCAGUGCAGGGGCCCAGCUUUGAUCACUGGUCAGGAAACUAGAUCCCGCAUGCCCCAGCUAAGACCCAAUGCAGCCAAAUAAAUAAAUAAACUUUUUUUAAAAAGGAAAUCA
rnacentral:lncRNA from 1 species